rnacentral:rRNA from 1 species
CUUGAGAUAGUGAUAUGUUGUGGGAAAGCAAGCAAAGGAGAAACGAUGACUAUGCACUCUGUUUACGCGUGUGCCUCGUCUCGAACAUUUCGCAACCUGGUUAUGACUAAAGUUAGAAAAGUUCCUGUGGAGUUAUCGACUACGUCGGGAACU